CCCUUAGAUGUUCUGGGCUGCACACGUGCUACACUGGCAGGUUCAGCGAGCUUCAUGCCCUGAUCUGAAAGGAAUGGGAAAUCUUUUCAAAACCUGCCGUGCUUGGGAUAGAUGUUUGCAAUUAUUCAUCUUCAACGAGGAUUGCCUAGUAAGCGCACGUCAUCAGCGUGCAUUGAAUACGACCCUGUAUUCUGUACACACCGCCCGUCGCUCCUACCGAUUGAAGUUUUCGGUGAGUUGACAGGAGGAUUUUUUUGAAACUGGUUCGCCAGUGGAUUUUAGAUCCAAAUGCCAACGAAUCGAUGGCUUUAGAGGAAGGAGAAGUCGUAACA
rnacentral:rRNA from 1 species